AGCUGAUGGAUCACGAGUAAUUGGGC
rnacentral:piRNA from 1 species